UGUGGCGAUUGGUUUCACACUAACCUGAUGAUGGUUCAAUGGUAUCAAAGAAGUCGUUGUUAUCACGGUCGUUGUGGCUGUAGAAGAUUUUAAGGGUUGUGACCCGGGUUCGGGUGGAUAGGAAUUGAGAGCCUCCAAAGCUUGUAACUCUUCGAAAAACCGUGAAUAUAUAUGCAUGUAUCAGAAUAUAUAUGUAUAUAACAAAAAAACCUGGAGACUUCUUCCCAUAAGGGAGCUUUGAGAGUGGAGUCACGAAAGGCUUUAUCCAUUUCCGAACGUAUUCUCAAGAGAGCUAGAGUUUCCGGUCUUGGCCACCGGUUUCCUCCUCCUCCGCCUACUUCUCCGAUUUCCUCCAUUUUCAUAUCUUUCUCAUCCUCGCCUGAACCGCCCAUGCCGCCACUGCCGAAGCUAUCUAACAGUCCUGAAGAGUUUCCAGACACACUUAAGAUUCGAAUCCGGAUGCCUCAGAGAGAGUUUAUGAAGAGUUUGACGAGAAGAGAAGGUUGUGGUUGAAUUUUCUGUUUUUUCGUCUAUUGUGAUUUUAUCUUUUUAAUUUUUUUUUUUUGGUAAAAUUUAUCUUUUUAAUUGGGUGGGAGGACCAUAUAUCAAGACAUUUUUGUAUACGUUAUAUAUUUUGCAUAAUUAUUUUUCAAUAUAUCACAAAAGGAGGAGUGGGACUUCAAAGGGAAACCUUUUAACUUUCUUUCUGUCUUUUUAAAUUUGGGAAUCUUCUCAUUGCUUAUAAGAAAAUUUUGGUACCAGAAAAUAAUUUCAUAUAAAUUAGAGUUUUUUUGAACAUUCUCUCAGUAGAUGUAACAUCUGAUUAAUGAUUGGUUUAUCAGCUUUUUCGGCAAUGAAUAUUCCAGAAACUUGCCAUCGGUUGUGGUACUAAAACUGGUUAAAAAUCAAAACCCUAAUUAGACUGAAUAAUUUGAUAUCAAUAAUUUAUGAACUGCUAGAACUGAAUUCUAUAAACUCUAAAAUUACGUUCCGAUACAAGAUACAAUUGCUCAUUCAUUACGUCAAUCCAUAUACUUUUACAUAUAAUUAUUAAAAAGAGAUUCUAACGUGGAUGUAUAAGUAUAAUUGAAGAGUCUUUAACUGUCCCACUUAGAAUUUUUUUCCAUCACACCUCUCUUAAAAUUAUUACUGGGAAUUGCAUAUCUGUAUACUAUGUAAAGUAUAUAGUAUAGUGCAGUAAACAAUAAAAGUGUAACUGGUGACAAAUUAAAGAAAUAUAUAAAAUGGUAAAAAUUAUUAUAUAUGAAAUUUAAUGGAAUAGAAUUAGCAUUCCACUUAUUCUAAAAUAUUUCAAUUUGGAAUGAUUUUGCAAAUCAAAGUUAAUUUCUUCUAAAAAAAUAUGGAAUAUUGUUGAAUGCAAUGGAAUACUUUUUCAUUUUUUAUUCUAACUGGUGAAUAAUUUUUGGAAUGCACAAAAAUUAAGUAUUUAAGAAAUUUUUAUUCUAAAAAGUACAUCUCAGUUGCACCCUAAAUAAAUAAUCAAGAUGAUGAUUCCAUAUGAAAUAAUAACAAUACUUGGAGAUUGUGAGCUGUGGAGAUUGGAAAAGCCUAAGAAUAUAAUUACAUUAAUGUUUAAAAUGAUUGACAUCAUAAUGGGUGCCUUUUGUUUUAAUUCUAUUUUUUUUAAAUUCUAAUUAAAAUUUAAAAUAAUUAAGGUAAUCAACAAGAACAGCUGCAGAUAUAGACGAUAGAGAUAGUAUUCGGGUAGCAUGAGCCCACGUGGGCCCAUAUUAGCUUUUCACCGCCGCUGGAUAAAUCGGUGAUGACUGUUAAUUUACCUCUUUACCCCCUAAUGUUGACAUAUCUAAUCUAAUCAUGCAACUAGUUUGUAACCCAAUAACUGACACGUCAUGUUCCCCGUUAUGAUACAUCAUUUCCAUUUAAUAUAUAAACUAGAUCUCGAGCCGCACAGUUAUGAUACAUCAUUUCCAUUUAAUAUAUAAACUAGAUCUGGAUCCGCACAACCGUGCGGGCUUUUUAUUUCUAUACUAAAAUAUUUUAGUUUAUAUAACAACAUUUACCAAUAAAUUAAUAUAAUUUAGUGUUAUAUAUUAUAUAAUUCUAUAAUAGCUAUGUUUACAUGGCUUAUAUAUUAUUACUAUAAAUUUUGUUUUUUUGUAACAAAAAUUAUUUUGGAAACUUUAUUAUGUAACAAUAUUACUUUACAUACUUUUUAUUUAAAAUUUAAAAUUUAUAUGAAAGCAAAUUAAUUUGGAUCAAUAUAGUAGAGAAGAAAUUUUUGAGAUACUCUAAAGAAUUUCUUUUAAAGAAAUACUAUAAUACAUUGUACUUCAAAAUAAGUUUGUCGUAAACAUCAUAUUUGAGAAAUACACUAAGUUGGAUAAAAUAUCUUCUUUUAAUUUGAAAUAAAAAUGAAUCUUUCUAACAAAAUCUUUGUAAUUUUUAUUUUUGAAAAUUAAUCAGCUGAAAUUGUUAUUAUCAUUGAAUAUAAAAUUAUAAUACUCUGUAUAAUUUUAAAUUUUCAUAUAUAAAUCAAAA